rnacentral:rRNA from 1 species
CACGUAGGGCGCAAGCGUUGUCCGGAAUUAUUGGGCGUAAAGCGUGCGCAGGCGGCUUCUCAAGUCAGGGGUGAAAGCCCAGAGCUCAACUCUGGAAUUGCCUUUGAGACUGAGUGGCUUGAGUACGAGAGAGGUGAGUGGAAUUCCCAGUGUAGAGGUGAAAUUCGUAGAUAUUGGGAAGAACACCGGUGGCGAAGGCGGCGACCUGGUCCUUGACUGACGCUGAGGCGCGAAAGCGUGGGGAGCAAACAGG